rnacentral:rRNA from 1 species
UUGACGGAGAGUUUGAUCCUGGCUCAGGACGAACGCUGGCGGCGUGCUUAAUACAUGCAAGUCGAACGAUCCCGGGACUUCGGUCCCAAUGGGAGAGUGGCGAACGGGUGCGUAACACGUGAGAAACCUAUCCCGGAGAUGGGAAUAGCCCAGGGAAACCUGGAUUAAUGCCCAAUACCCUGAGAGCGCCGCAUGGCGCAUUCAGGAAAGGUUCCGGCGCUUUGGGAGGGUCUCGCGGCCUAUCAGCUUGUUGGUGAGGUAAAGGCUCACCAAGGCAUCGACGGGUAGCUGGUCUGAGAGGACGAUCAGCCACACUGGGACUGAGACACGGCCCAGACUCCUACGGGAGGCAGCAGUAGGGAAUCUUGCGCAAUGGGCGAAAGCCUGACGCAGCAACGCCGCGUGGGGGAUGAAGGCCUUCGGGUCGUAAACCCCUUUCAGCAGGGACGAAAUUGACGGUACCUGCAGAAGAAGCGCCGGCCAACUACGUGCCAGCAGCCGCGGUAAUACGUAGGGCGCAAGCGUUGUCCGGAUUUAUUGGGCGUAAAGGGCUCGUAGGCGGUUCGGUAAGUCGGGUGUGAAAACUCAGGGCUCAACCCUGAGACGCCACUCGAUACUGCCAUGACUAGAGUCCGGUAGAGGAGUGCGGAAUUCCUGGUGUAGCGGUGAAAUGCGCAGAUAUCAGGAGGAACACCGACAGCGAAGGCAGCACUCUGGGCCGGU